rnacentral:rRNA from 1 species
AACGUACGCUGGCGGCACGCCUAACACAUGCAAGUCGAACGAAGUAGCAAUACUUAGUGGCAGACGGGUGAGUCACACGUAGGUAUCUACCCUUUGGCCUGGAAUAACACGAGGAAACUUGUGCUAAUACCGGAUAAGUCUUUACGGAGAAAGCUUUAUGCACCAUUGGAUGAGCCUGCACUUGAUUAGUUUGUUGGUGGGGUAAUGGCCCACCAAGACUGUGAUCAAUAGCUGAUUUGAGAGGAUGAUCAGCCACAUUGGGACUGAGACACGGCCCAAACUCCUACGGGAGGCAGCAGUGGGGAAUCUUGCACAAUGGAGGAAACUCUGAUGCAGCGAUGCCGCGUGAGUGAAGAAGGCCUUUGGGUUGUAAAGCUCUUUCGUCGGGGAAGAAAAUGACUGUACCCGAAUGAGAAGGUCCGGCUAACUUCGUG